rnacentral:lncRNA from 1 species
CACCACCUCUGUCUCUCUCUUCUCCAACUCCUGUGCCGGCAUCUCAACCUCCCGGACACCCCGAUCUAUCACUGUCGGCUUACUUUUCUCCCUUGGGUCUUCUCUUUCUCACAACCUCUCUCUCUCCCACGCUCCCCUCCUCCUAUUCUUCUUCUUCUUCUCCUCUUCUUCUUCUUCUUCUUUUCUCCUUCUCCCCCUCUCUUGUGCC